GUCAAGGGGGCAGCAAUGUCACCGGCGGACGGGUGCGUAACGCGUACAGAACAUACCCUUAAGCGGGGGAUAGCCUUGGGAAACUGAGGGUAAUACCCCAUGCUAUUGAUGAUUGGCAUCAGUUAUCAAUUAAAGUUACGGCGCUUAAGGAUUGCUGUGCGUCCGAUUAGCUAGUUGGUGGGGUAACGGCCCACCAAGGCGAUGAUCGGUAGGGGGUGUGAGAGCAUGACCCCCCACACGGGUACUGAGACACGGACCCGACUCCUACGGGAGGCAGCAGUAAGGAAUAUUGGACAAUGGAGGAAACUCUGAUCCAGCCAUGCCGCGUGAAGGAUGAAUGCGCUCAGCGUUGUAAACUUCUUUUGGAUGGGAACAAAAACUUCGACGUGUCGGAGCCUGAGGGUACCAUCAGAAUAAGCACCGGCUAACUCCGUGCCAGCAGCCGCGGUAAUACGGAGGGUGCAAGCGUUAUCCGGAAUCACUGGGUUUAAAGGGUGCGUAGGCGGUCAGAUAAGUCAGUUGUGAAAUACCCCGGCUUAACCGGCGGAACUGCGAUUGAUACUGUUUGACUUGAAUCAGGUUGAGGUAGGCGGAAUGUGGCAUGUAGCGGUGAAAUGCUUAGAUAUGCCAUAGAACACCGAUUGCGAAGGCAGCUUGCUGGGCCUGUAUUGACGCUGAGGCACGAAAGCGUGGAGAGCAAACAGGAUUAGAUACCCUGGUAGUCCACGCCCUAAACGAUGUUUACUUGCUGUGCGGUCUUCGGAUUGCGUGGCGAA
rnacentral:rRNA from 1 species